ACAGAAGUCAACAAUUUAGGUUUGGAAACCUCCACCUAGAUUUCAGAGAAUGUAUGAAAAUGCCUGGAUGCCCAGGCAGAAGUUUACUGCAGGGGUGGCGUCCUCAUGGAGAACCUCUGCUAGAUAGGGCAGUGUGGAAAGGAAAUAUGGGGUUGGAGGCACCACAAAGAGUCUGCACUGGGACACUGCCUAGUUGAGCUGUGAGAAGAGGGCGACCAUUCUCUAGUCCCCAGAAUGGUAGAUCCACAAACAUCUUGCAGUCACUCAAUGCCAGCCUGUGAAAGCAGCUGGAAAGACACCACUAGUGAAAUUGCAGGAUGGAAGGAUAAUUCUAUUUUCAGUUUUUUAAGAAAUCUCCAUACUGUUUUCUAUAGAGGUCGUACUAACUUACAGGCCCACCAACAGUGUAGUCUCACCCCGUCACUCAAGCUGAUGUGUAAUGGCACAAUCACAGCUCACUGCAGCCUCAAACUCCUGGGGUCAGGCUGUCCCCCAUCUCAGCCUCAGGUGUGGCUAGGACACAGGCAGGCAACAUCAUGCCGAGAGAAUUUUAAAAAAUUUUUGUAGAGACAAUAUCUCGCUAUGUUGCCUAGGUUAGUCUCAAAUGCCUGACCCUAAGAGACCCUCCUAUCCCAGCCUUCCUCCGAAAGCACUGGGAUUAUAAGCCUGAGCCACCAAGCUCAGCUACAUAUAUUAAUUUUUGAUCCAUUUGUUUUAUCCAUUAUUGAGGGGGGACAAUUAAAAUUUCCAGCUAGCUGUGUGAAUUUUUCCAUUCCUUCAAACAAUUUUAUUAGUUUUUGUUUCUGUAUUUAUAAGUCUAAGUGCUUGAAUAUUUAGUGUUGUUGAUUUUCUUGAUGAAUUCACCCACUUAACAUGACUGCCUCUCAAAUCCUGUGUAAUUUGGAAAAAGCUAAAAUGUAUUUUUUAUAAUAUGUUGGCACUCCAGCUUAUUUAUGAUUAUGUACAAUAUAUAUUUUCCAUUAUUUUAUGUUUAAAUAUGUGUAUUUUUAAUUAAUGUGGUGUUCUUGAAAACCACACAUUUUGGGGUGUUCAUUUUUCUCCAAUUUAAAAAUCUUUGCUUUCCAAUUAGUGUUUACUACAUUUAUAAGUAAUGUAAAUAUUGAUAUUAUUUAUUUGACCUUAUUGCUAUUAUUAUUCAGUGUAACCAUCCAUUCUUUUUCUAUUUUUCCCUCUCCUCCUGACUUUUUUUGAAUGAAUACUGUAUUAGUUUGCUAUGGCAGCCAUAACAGAGUACCAUAGACUAGGUGGCAUAAACAGCAGAAAUUUACUUCUAGUCUUGGAGGAUAGAAGUCUGAGAUCAGGGUGUCAGCAGCACUGGUUUCUUCUGAGGCCUCUCUCUUUGGCUUGUAGACAUCCAUCUUCUCCUUGUGUCUUCACAUGAUCUUACCUCUGGGCAUGUUUGUAUUCUUAUUUUUACUUACGUGGAUAUCAGUCAUAUUGGAUUAGGGCCCACUAUAAUGACAUUAUUUAAAUUUACUUACCUUUUUAAAUAAUCUAUCUCCAAAUACAGUCACAUUCUGAGGUAGUGAGGGUUACAACAUCAACAUAUAAAUUUUGGAGGGAUAUAGUUUUACCCAUACAAUAUAUAUAUAUAUAUAUUUAGGAUAUAUAUAUAUAUGUGUAUAUAUAUAUAUAUAUCUUUAGGAUUCCAUUUAAUUUUUUCUAUUACAUUUUUUACUACCUCACAAUAUGUAAUUUAUUUCUUCAUUUUUAACCUAUAAUUUAACAUUUACAUAUUUAUCUUACCAUACCUUCAAUUAAUAUUUUCCUAACUUAAUAUAAGACAAUAAAACAAGGGUCUUUUAUUUCUCUUCUCUGUCAGUUAUACUCUAGCUGUUAGAUAAUACUUUGCGUGUGUUAGAAACUUCAAAUACAUUGUUAUUUUUGCUUCAAAAUGUAUUGAGAUGAUGGUCAAUACAAAACCUCAGGCAGAAAGUGCAUAUAUUUUUGAGUUAUGUUGCACAGCGUGGUGAAUAUAGUUAGUAAUAAUAUUGUACAUUUAAAAAUUGCUAAGAGUGGUAAAUUUCAAUGUUCUUAUUGCAAAAAAUUGUUAAAUAUUUGAGGUUACAGAUGUGUUGACUUUAAUUAUUCCACAUUAUAUUUAUAAAUCAUAACAUCACUUUGUACCCCAUAUAUUUAUACAGUUAUAAAUCAUCAAUUUACCAUAAAAUAAUUGCUUUUAAAUAAAAAAUAAAAUGAUAGAUAUUUCUCUUAAAACUAAGCUUUUUUUUACACACAUUAGUGCAGUAAUCAUGUUAAUAAUAGCAUUUUAUAGACUUUGUCUAAUUUCAGCAUCCCUACUAUGGAUGGUAGGGCAUAAUAACUAAUAAUAAGAAAGAAAACGGCCAGAUGCAGUGGCUCACACUUGUAACUCCAGCACUUUGGGAGGCCUAGGUAGACUUAUCACAACAUCAGGAGUUCAAGACCAGCCUGGCCAACAUGGUGAAACCCCAUCUCUACUAAAAAUACGAAAAAUUAGCCGGAUGUCGUGGCGGGCACCUGCAAUCCCAGCUACUCAGGAGGCUGAGGCAGGAGAAUCACUUGAACCUGGGAGGUGGAGCUUGCAGUGAGCCGAGAUUGCACCGCUGCACUCUAGCCUGGGCAACUGAGCGACACUCCAUCUCAAAAAAAACAAAAACAACAACAAAAAAAAAAAGAAGAGAGAGAGAGAGAAAGAGAAUACGAGUGAAGUAAGCAAACAAUGGUAUGGAGGUGGAAUUUCACAAUAACUUAGUAUUUAGCAUAAGUUCAAGGAGAACAUCAUACUGAUUUCUGGAGCUCCUUCAUUGCAUGUCACCCUUCUCUGUGUUAUAUGCCUAACAGAUUACAGUCAUUCUUCACAAAAUGUGGUCUUUGUCCUAUCAAGUAAAUAGGACCACCAUGUCUUACUCCCCAUCCCAUGAACCAAAAUGUGUUUCUAGGCAGAAAAUCACCAUAGAGCUCACUUCAAUAGUUUUCUUUCUUUUGGGGAUCACAGUCUGUGCUGAAUCUUCUUCAAUGCCCUCUCCAGCGGAAACUGUUGUUUUAUAUUUUGUGUGGGAAAUUUCGUUUGUUUAUUGUGGUAAGUUAAUUCUAAUUUAUUAUGAUUGAUUCAUGAUGGUUGAUAAGAGCUACUAAAAAUAAAUCUUCAAGCAUUUUAACAAUUAAAUUAAGUAUAACACUGCACUAUUUUCCCAAGAUGAUGAAUGUAAA
rnacentral:lncRNA from 1 species